AGUGUGUGGAUGACUUAGCUGUGUUCUGUCAAGCGGGCAGCCUGGCUGAAGACACAAUCUACGAAGAACUAUUCGAAACUCUUGAGUGCUUCUUGAAGGCACUAUCGAAGCAAGACCUGGUCACCAUCACCAAAGGAGUUAUUUGCGACAUUGCGCUGCUAUUCAAGCAAGCUGACUUUGGAAUUGACAUCCUGACGCUCGUCACUCGUACUCUCACGGGUGUGGUUGCUGGUAUCACAUGUUAAUACCAGAACACGCUGGUCUACGCUGAGAACACGACGGGAUAAAGGACCGAUUUAUUUGAAUAAAGGACGUCGCACGUUAACAGGCAUUUCAUGAUGGUG
rnacentral:lncRNA from 1 species